rnacentral:rRNA from 1 species
AGCAGGGGAUCUUCGGACCUUGCGCUAAUAGAUGAGCCUAAGUCGGAUUAGCUAGUUGGUGGGGUAAAGGCCUACCAAGGCGACGAUCUGUAGCGGGUCUGAGAGGAUGAUCCGCCACACUGGGACUGAGACACGGCCCAGACUCCUACGGGAGGCAGCAGUGGGGAAUAUUGGACAAUGGGGGGAACCCUGAUCCAGCCAUGCCGCGUGUGUGAAGAAGGCCUUAUGGUUGUAAAGCACUUUAAGCGAGGAGGAGGCUACUGAGACUAAUACUCUUGGAUAGUGGACGUUACUCGCAGAAUAAGCACCGGCUAUCUCUGUGCCAGCAGCCGCGGUAAUACAGAGGGCGCGAGCGUUAAUCGGAUUUACUGGGCGUAAAGCGUGCGUAGGCGGCUUUUUAAGUCGGAUGUGAAAUCCCCGAGCUUAACUUGGGAAUUGCAUUCGAUACUGGGAAGCUAGAGUAUGGGAGAGGAUGGUAGAAUUCCAGGUGUAGCGGUGAAAUGCGUAGAGAUCUGGAGGAAUACCGAUGGCGAAGGCAGCCAUCUGGCCUAAUACUGACGCUGAGGUACGAAAGCAUGGGGAGCAAACAGGAUUAGAUACCCUGGUAGUCCAUGCCGUAAACGAUGUCUACUAGCCGUUGGGGCCUUUGAGGCUUUAGUGGCGCAGCUAACGCGAUAAGUAGACCGCC